UACGUAGGGUGCAAGCGUUGUCCGGAAUUAUUGGGCGUAAAGAGCUCGUAGGCGGUUUGUCGCGUCUGCUGUGAAAACCCGAGGCUCAACCUCGGGCCUGCAGUGGGUACGGGCAGACUAGAGUGCGGUAGGGGGAGAUUGGAAUUCCUAGUGUAGCGGUGAAAUGCGCAGAUAUCAGGAGGAACACCGGUGGCGAAGGCGGGGUCUCUGGGGCCGAUGACUGACGCUGGAGGAGCGAAAGCGUGGGGAGCGAACAGGA
rnacentral:rRNA from 1 species